rnacentral:rRNA from 1 species
AUUGAACGCUGGCGGCAGGCCUAACACAUGCAAGUCGAACGAGUGGCGGACGGGUGAGUAAUGUCUGGGAAAAUGCCCGAUGGAGGGGGAUAACUACUGGAAACGGUAGCUAAUAACGCAUACCAUCGGAUGUGCCCAGAUGGGAUUAGCGAGGAGGUGGGGUAACGGCUCACCUAGGCGACGAUCCCUAGCUGGUCUGAGAGGAUGCCCAGCAACACUGGAACUAAGCCACGGUCCCGACUCCUCCGGGAGGCAGCAGUGGGGAAUAUGGCACAAUGGGCGCAAGCCCGCUGCAGCCCUGCCGCGUGUAUGAAGAUGGCCUUCGGGUUGUAAAGUACUUUCAGCGAGGAGGCGUUACUCUCAGAAGAAGCACCGGCUAACUCCGUGCCAGCAGCCGCGGUAAUAC